rnacentral:misc_RNA from 1 species
UCACUGCUUGCGCAGGCAGUCUCGCUAGAGUCCCCAACCGAAUUGCUGGCAACAUAGGACAGGGGUUGCGCUCGUUGCGGGACUUAACCCAACAUCUCGCGACACGAGCUGACGACAGCCAUGCACCACCUGUGCACUGGUCCCGAAGGAGGGCCGUAUUUCUACGGAUUUCCAGUGCAUGUCAAGCCCUGGUAAGGUUCUUCGCGUUGCAUCGAAUUAAACCACAUGCUCCGCUGCUUGUGCGGGGCCCCGUCAAUUCCUUUGAGUUUUAGCCUUGCGGCCGUACUCCCCAGGCGGGGUGCUUAAUGCGUUAGCUACGGCACGGAAGGAGUCGACACCUCCCACACCUAGCACCCAUCGUUUACGGCGUGGACUAC